AAAUGUUUGGCUUUGAGCGUUCCUGAUGAAGGUAAAUCCAGACUCAGCCAGAAAAGUGCUAUGGACGCAUGAAAUUAUUGAACCUGCUGUUUUCAAUUUUUCAUGCUCCUUUAUUUUAAAAAAAAAGUAUAUAAUUACAUUCUCUUUUUUUUUUUUAGGUCACCUGACAAUAACAGGAUUGAGGUUACAGUAUGCCAUUCAAGCUGUGAUGAAAUAUAAAGUAAUGGUUUGAAUUUGGAGAGCUUCAUUACAUGUAUUAUAGACAGGUAAAUUGUUUUAUCCUGCAAUUAUCUACAUGAUCUAACUAUUGUACAUGUACAAUGGGACGACUCACCUGAAGGGUCCCAAGUUAAACAGAAAUUAAAAACUAUAUAUAUGUCAUCAUUUAGGCCUUAUGGCCUUCAACAAUGAGAAAAACACAUUCUGCCACAUUGUCUUCUCUAAAAGGCGCCAAAUCAUAAUAUUAAUAAACCUGUUGAAGUAGAAAACUAAUGGCCUUAUUUAUGUGAGAAAAAAGUGAAUGAACAAACAAACAAACAAACAGCAACAAACAAGUGCUCAAUUAAAUAUUACAGACACAUACAUAGUCAGGGGUACUACAUGUAUUUGUACAAGUUUAUUUUAUUUACUUGAAGAAGUAAAAAAAAUACACAUAACACGUAUAAGUAAAUAGAUAAUGUUUGAAUAAUCUAGCCUUAAUUUUCUCAAAAAUUUACUUGUACAAGUAAACCAUGUAAACAUUUCUUUCAAUCCUAAAAAAAAUCCUCAAGUUUUGAGAUGUGAAUCAUGCCUUUAAUGAUCAUGGUGAUUUUUCCCAGUUUAGCUCAAUUUUUUUUUUAUUUUAAGUUCAAUGUUUCAUCUCAUUAUAUGAAUCCAUCAAAGAAAUUGAUUGAGCAAAGAUCUUGUAUAUUUGUGCAAGGCCUUCAAAAAAUUGCUCCUUUGAGGCUUGUAAAUGAGCAGUGUUGUGAAGAUAACAGACAAAUGGGAUUUUCAUUGUCUAUGAAAUUACACUUAAAUGAUUGGUAAAGACAUCUGCAGAGAGUACACAAUUUAAAAUUCGAUUAGUGCAAAGAAAUCUCAAGAAUACAAGAAAGAAAAAAGGAUGUAAAACAAGUACAAUGUAAAACAUUCUGAAUGUGUAAGGGACAUAACUAUGCCAUUUUUUGGUUUACCCAUACAACAUGUACAAGUAAAUAAGAUUCACUUGUAUAAGUAUCCUACACAAAUUCACUUUUUUUUUCCAUUCUUCAAGAAUUGCAAUACAAUAAUUAAUGUACUUAAUAUAAAUCAUGAUAAUUUCUGAAUUCAAAAUGAAGUAAAAUUGAGAAUGGAAAUGGGGAAUGUGUCAAAGAGACAACAACCCGACCAAAUAAAAAAAAAAUAACAGCAGAAGGUCACCAACAUGUAAUUCCCGCACCCGGAGGCGUCCUUCAGUGUCUGUAUAUAUAUGUACGAGCAGUAAUAUUUAUUUACACAGACAUGACAGAUAUGCCUAUAACCAUGAUAAUAAUAAUAUACUGAACUUGCUAGCUAAAAUUUCUUGUGGAUUCUUGAUAUUGAUCAUGUUGAUAUUGAAGUAUUCCUGUCACUGUUCACAUUUGGAAAAGGAGAUACAAAAUAAUGAAGUUCAACAUAAUAUUUAAAUAUUUAUUACAUUUUACAUAGUGCGCCUUAUUAAAAUGUGUUUGGAAAAUUUAUUUUUUGUUCAAAUGUUGAAUGAAGACAUUACUACUGGUAAAAAAGGACGAGAAUUAUUUUGUUAGCAUUUUAACAGUACUUUUUUGAAGAAGUAUGUUUGCACUAACUUUUGAUUACUUUUCUCAUAUUGAAAAUUUCAUUUGAUAUAUACAUUGUACUUGUAUUAUAUUUGCAUUUUCAUAUUUCAGGGAUGAAGACCUGCAGUCAGACACCAGUUAAAAGUUACUUAUAACUCAUCAUGGCCAUUAUGGAAGAUCUGAUUAAAAUUUGUCUAGAAAGCCACCAAAUAUGUCCAUGAAAAAUAGAAAAAUGACAGCAAUUCUAC
rnacentral:lncRNA from 1 species